GGAUGGGUGGCCGAGUGGUCGAAGGCACCGGUCUUGAAAACCGGCGUACGCAAGUACCGUGGGUUCGAAUCCCACCCCAUCCGCCA
rnacentral:tRNA from 1 species